rnacentral:rRNA from 1 species
CGGACGGGUGAGGAAUGCAUCGGAAUCUACUCUGUCGUGGGGGAUAACGUAGGGAAACUUACGCUAAUACCGCAUACGACCUACGGGUGAAAGCAGGGGAUCUUCGGACCUUGCGCGAUUGAAUGAGCCGAUGCCCGAUUAGCUAGUUGGCGGGGUAAGAGCCCACCAAGGCGACGAUCGGUAGCUGGUCUGAGAGGAUGAUCAGCCACACUGGAACUGAGACACGGUCCAG